GUCUUUCUCAAUCAAGUCACGCCAGAGCGAAGGAAAAAACUUUUCCCCGGCUCAUUUAAUGAAUGUUUCCCAUUUCAGGCUUUUUGCACCUUGCCUUAAUUGAAAUUGUGAGUGAGUGUGAAAAGCACUGAAAGACAAGCGACAAAUGAUGACGUGACUGGCCCCAACCUUCACCUGCUGAGUGGACAAUUUCAGAACACAUCCACCCUGCUGCAAGGCUCCAGCUCACCACGAUCUCUGUCUCGGUGAGGGCAGGCUGCAUCAAUACUGCUUUCACCCCAUGCUGCUCUGAGAGAAGCCUCAUUCUUCCUGAAAUCAACUGAGAAUUCUUCAGAAAUUGGCCAUUGAAGCUCUGAACUGUUAAAAGGCCACAAACCUUUCUAUCCGCUAAGGAAUGGAUUUUGUCCUCAACAUCUUUGAAAUUUGACAACUUUGUAAUGGAAAAAGUUUUUGCAAGGAAUGUCAACAAAAUCUUUGGGAUGUUGAUUUAGCUGACAUGGAGUACGUUCAUGAAAUAGGGGAUGUUAGAAAAAGAGAUCCUUGAGGCAUCUCUGCUGCAUUCUUCAAAAACAACCUACAUGAUUUACUGUUUUGUCUUUUUAAUCCUGUGGAACAACACACAAAAGUAGACAUGCAUGCAGCAUGCAUAUUUCAAAAUCAUAGAAAAA